rnacentral:rRNA from 1 species
GAGCGGGUGUAGCAAUACACCAGCGGCAGACGGGAGAGUAACACGUGAGAACGUGCCCUUCAGUUCGGAACAACCCAGGGAAACUUGGGCUAAUACCGGAUACGUCCGUAAGGAGAAAGAUUUAUCGCUGAAGGAUCGGCCCGCGUCUGAUUAGCUUGUUGGUGAGGUAAUGGCUCACCAAGGCGACGAUCAGUAGCUGGUCUGAGAGGAUGAUCAGCCUCACUGGGACUGAGACACGGCCCAGACUCCUACGGGAGGCAGCAGUAGGGAAUAUUGGACAAUGGGCGCAAGCCUGAUCCAGCCAUGCCGCGUGGGUGAUGAAGGCCCUAGGGUUGUAAAGCCCUUUCGGCGGGGAAGAUAAUGACGGUACCCGCAGAAGAAGCCCGGCUAACUUCGUG